rnacentral:ncRNA from 2 species
GAGUGAAGCGGCAACAGCUCAAAUUUGAAAUCUGGCGUCUACGGCGUCCGAGUUGUAAUUUGUAGAGGAUGCUUCUGGGCAGCCACCGGUCUAAGUUCCUUGGAACAGGACGUCAUAGAGGGUGAGAAUCCCGUAUGCGACCGGACAGGCACCCUCCACGUAGCUCCUUCGACGAGUCGAGUUGUUUGGGAAUGCAGCUCUAAAUGGGAGGUAAAUUUCUUCUAAAGCUAAAUACCGGCCAGAGACCGAUAGCGCACAAGUAGAGUGAUCGAAAGAUGAAAAGUACUUUGGAAAGAGAGUUAAAAAGCACGUGAAAUUGUUGAAAGGGAAGGGUUUGCAACCAGACUUGCUCGCGGUGUUCCGCCGGUCUUCUGACCGGUCUAUUCGCCGCGUUGCAGGCCAGCAUCGUCUGGGGCCGCCGGAUAAGACUUUGGGAAUGUAGCUCCCUCGGGAGUGUUAUAGCCCUUUGUGAUGCGGUGAGUCCCGGGCGAGGUCCGCGCUUCGGCUAGGAUGCUGGCGUAAUGGUUGUAAACCGCCCGUCUUGAAACACGGACCAAGGAGUCUAGCAUCUAUGCGAGUGUUCGGGUGUCAAACCCCUACGCGUAAUGAAAGUGAACGGAGGUGGGAACUUUUUGUGCACCAUCGACCGAUCCUGAUGUCUUCGGAUGGAUUUGAGUAAGAGCAUAGCUGUUGGGACCCGAAAGAUGGUGAACUAUGCCUGAAUAGGGUGAAGCCAGAGGAAACUCUGGUGGAGGCUCGCAGCGGUUCUGACGUGCAAAUCGAUCGUCAAAUUUGGGUAUAGGGGCGAAAGACUAAUCGA